rnacentral:rRNA from 1 species
UACGUAGGGGGCUAGCGUUGUCCGGAAUCAUUGGGCGUAAAGAGCGCGUAGGCGGCCAGAUAAGUCCGGUGUGAAAGUCACAGGCUCAACCUGUGAAUGCCGCUGGAAACUGUCUGGCUAGAGUCCGGGAGGGGCGAGUGGAAUUCCUGGUGUAGCGGUGAAAUGCGCAGAUAUCGGGAAGAACACCCGUGGCUAAGGCGGCUCUCUAGUACGGUACUGACGCUGAGACGCGAAAGCGUGGGGAGCGAACAGG